UACGAAGGGGGCUAGCGUUGCUCGGAAUCACUGGGCGUAAAGGGUGCGUAGGCGGGUUUUUAAGUCAGGGGUGAAAUCCUGGAGCUCAACUCCAGAACUGCCUUUGAUACUGAAGAUCUUGAGUCCGGGAGAGGUGAGUGGAACUGCGAGUGUAGAGGUGAAAUUCGUAGAUAUUCGCAAGAACACCAGUGGCGAAGGCGGCUCACUGGCCCGAUACUGACGCUGAGGUGCGAAAGCGUGGGGAGCAAACAGGG
rnacentral:rRNA from 1 species